rnacentral:lncRNA from 1 species
UAUUAAUCAAAUUAUUACUUAGGAACAACUAAAAUCCCUUUGAUAAAAGGAAUAGCUGUUAGCAUGCAAUGUAGAGUUGAGGGAUGCAAUGCAAAUUUGCUUCUUAAAAACGCUAUCAAAUUUUCUCGACAGUGAAUAGCUGCCAGUAUUCCUCACCCUGACCAGCAGAGCUGUCCAGUUAUGAUUGCAUGCGUGAUAAUUUUCUUGAGCCUGAAAAUGUGCUAAUGGAAAAAGAAACGAAUUGCUGGGAUAAAUUCUGUUGUGAGGCCAGGAUUCUCAUGUGAAGAUGAUUUGGUUACAGACGAGAUUUCAUGCGCGUUAUGGAGUACAGUAACUAAUUAAUACCAGUAAUAGUAACACUAGAGAUAAAAUAUCAAAACUUACGAACCACUAAAGUGAUAUUCUUUCGUAAAGGGUAAAAAUAAGUAAGAAUUACCUUUGCAAAAUUACAACUGUGAAGAUAACCUCAAAAUUUCGAUCCUUUACCCCCUCACCUAACUUUCUUUCAGGGGAGGAGGGGGAGUUCGAUACUUUUGUUCGAUUUCGAUGAUUUCGAUUCGAUAGUGUAAACAUAACCUCAAACUCAAAACUUCAGAACGUCAACAGGGACGCCCUUUUUUUAAUUGAUUAUGUUUCUGUCGGUGUUUUUAACUCCAAAAAUUUCUCAGUCUCUUCAUUACGUUCAGAAUGUUUAUCAUGGUUUUUAAAUUCAAACAUAAAGUUUCACCCGUGAUUUUUAACGUGUUAGUCUAAAAUGCACACCGUUAUUGAGUUGACUGUGUGAACUGAGGCCCUUUUCUCUUCAUUCAUUAAUACAUUUAACCAUACAAAAGCCGCCAAGAUGAUGCAACAAUACAUGAAAGAAAUGGAAAAGAAGCCUUUUGAAGCAGAGGCAUUUGUUGAAAGACUCGCAUGGAGGGACUGGCAGCAUGCCUGAUGAUAAAUCCAAAGAAAUGUUUGAUCCUCAGCUCAUGCAGGAAACUUUCAUCCAAGCAAUAAAGUAAGUCUGAUUAAAAGGAUCCAAGUAAGAAUUUGUAAGUAGAAGUUCAAGCACUAUCUGUAAGAGGUAAAAUCCAUUCAAAACAGUUGUAUGGCAUCAUGUAGGGAACAGAGGCCUAUGGGGGACUCCCAUGAAUUUCAACACUGUUGUUGAUCAUGUAUGUGUGU